CGUUCAUCCCGUAACCGCGGCUACGUUCGGCGACUGACUGUCGCCUCGACCCCAAGCUCAUUAUCACAACUCUCGAACAAUUACAAUCGGAUUGAAUAACUACAAUUGUUCAAUUACAGACUCCGGUGUUCUUUCAUCUCCGACAUAUAUAUAUGUCGAGUCAAGUUCCGAGUCUGGGCCCGAGUCGUCCUCGUGGCGGGGGCUUGGGACCGAGUUGACACAAACUCACAAUGACCACAUACUCGCGACGCUAGUGACAAUGGUCUUAGGUUCGAUAACGAGUCCGCGGACAACGGGACGGUAGUCGUACGCACUCGCAAAAAUCUAAGUCGGAUUCUGUGUUGAUAUUCACUGACCGUAAGGCGUUAAUCUCUUUUUGUCGGUGAGGUCGCAAGAGAGAAUGACUUUCCGUCCCGGUGAUACCCCAGAGGAAAACUAUGACGGGGUGUGUCUAAGGACACGAGAUCAUUGGAUUCGUCGGGGACAUCCUACGUUCGGAAAGUAAGGGAAAUUGACGUUGCUGCUAAUUGGCCAAUCUCCAUAUCGGUAGUUAGAAAAGUAUGCUAGCCGCCCUUGAGGGAGGGUUGCUAGUGGGAGACGUCGUUCGUGGAAAAAUAGGUCUCUCCUGUCUUCCCGUAACUGGGACAAAGACUGUGUAUCUGUUGAAGGAUUUUAGGUAACUAGAUAUUAGUGUUUAUGACGGUCCUCGGGCUAGCCGAUCACGUACUGUGGAGACGCGUCGACAUCUGGUAAACAUCCUGCCCGGAGAAUAGGAUCUGCGUGUGGCGAGCUACGGGACAGAAACCGUUGGAAUGUUUACUGCCAUGUGCCGCUACAAAUCUUUCUUUUAAGGAUAGCUAUAGGAUUACUUAAUGCGUUUGUUAGAUGGGGAGUUCGUCCCGUUGACCGCGGCUACGUUCGGCGACUAAUUGUCGCCUUGAGCCCAAGCUCAUUGUCACAAGUCUCAAACAAAUACAAUUGGUUAGAAUGACGGCAAAUCGUUUAGUUACAACUGUAGAUUUUAAUUACAAUGUUUUUAUGGAUUUUCCCGAGGUUUCAGAGGGAAGGCACCGGUGUCCUCUUAUCUCCGACAUAUAUAUAUAUAUAUAUAUAUAUAUAUAUAUAUAUAUAUAUAUAUA